GGUGGCUCAGUGGUAGAGCGCUUACCUUGCAUGCCUGAGGCCCUGAGUUCGACUCUCAGCACCA
rnacentral:tRNA from 1 species